AUCUACCAGCCAUUGUAUUCUGCAUGCACCUAGUAUCAAUCAUCUCUAUAAAAGAAUGUCUUAUUUAUUUUCCUCGUACAGUUAUCGGUGGUCAGAUAUCCAGCGCUGAACAGAAUAUUGACCAGCGACUACUAACACUCAGUCUAGAACCAGACAUUGAGCUCAGGGGAAAGUUUUAACACACACGUGUAGAGAAGCUGUGUCAGAAUAAUGUCUUCACAAGGGAACAGAAGUUUCCCACGGAUGAGGACCGCCUCACUGACUUCCAUUCCCAUUUCUUGUUUGAUGACGAGAAAAAAUCAUCUUCUGUUUGUGCCUAAAAUAUCAGCUAACAGAUGAGGAGGGGGUUUCACCAAGAGCUAAGCUGCAAACUCAGAACAUUUAUAACAAAGUUGGCCACCAUUCCCAAACUCCCUCCCUCUGUGAAGGAUCUGAGAUAUUAUGACCAGCUGCUCCACAAU